rnacentral:lncRNA from 1 species
UGGAUCAUCAAACACAAGAAUCAGAAGUAUGAGCAAUGGAAACUGAACUAAUGAAUUGAAAGGGAAAAUCCAUCCAUCUUCCACUUAUGUGAUUUAGGAAAAAGGAAAUAUUUCAAAGCUAAAAUCUAAGAUCAGGAUCUUUGUGGAAUUCUAAUUCAUUGCAUCUCUAAAAUAGCAGAAUAAGUCACAAGGUUGUAUCUCUUCUCAGAAACUAUAAAAUAAAGACGAUAGGUUAGAACAGCAAAUAAAUGCCUCUACAGGAAAACAUUUAAAUGUUCCUUUAAACUAUAAGAUGGUUUCAGCUGUCAGUCAGCACCACCCUUACACGUGGAGGUUGUAAGGCUGUUAGAAACCACGUGGUACUUGUAAGAUCUCAUAACUUGCCAUUGUUCUGCAUCAGCCUAACAGAGCACCACUUCUCUCCAGGUUCAGGAGAGAAACCAUCACUGCACACGAUGCUUUUCCUCCCAGCUGCUGCUCUGUGCUGUCUGUGUUCAGUGAUUACUGUGGCUGAAGAGCUGAUACAGAGUGAUUUAACUCUGACCAGGAGAGCUGGAGAAAGUGUCUCCUUCAGCUGUGGGGGAACUGACCAGUGCAGCAGUAACACUGUGUACUGGUACCAGAAGAAAGACACAAGAGAUUCAUUCAGAAUGCUUCUUUCUAUUGAUAUAAGCAGCGGUGCAAUAAAUCGAGGCUAUAACCACCCUCAGCAGAACGAUUUCUCAGCAGUGAAUAAUCAGGGCAGCUGGGCUUUGGAGCUAAAAACAGUUAAAGACGUUCAUUCAGCCAUCUACUACUGCUCUUGUUACAAAAGUACUCACAGUGUGAAAUCAUCCCUGCAGGCUGAACAAAAACCAUCAGAGGAAAAGCAAGAAACCACAGCUCCAUCUCAGUCUGAGAGACAAGAGUUAGAGAAAAUUUCAGUACUUUAAAUCAUAAAUCGAAAUGUUCAUAGCGUCAAAGGGUAAAAUUAAUACUUGUAAUUAAAGUUGACAGCUAACUGGGAGUACUGGGAGUACACAAUAAAGGUGGAAAAGAAAGAAAAAAUGUCACAGACCAGUUGUAUGGGAGGUUUUUCCUCCUGAACGUUAAAAGUUGAUAUGUAUCAUAUCAUGGAGUUGUAUGUUGAUGAUACUAUUGUUUCCACACAUGGUCGAAAAUAUUUCAGACUACAUCAAGUCCAUUUAUGUUCCUCAGUCUGUGUCUGUGGGAACAAAUAUUUUUAGUUUUGAAGUCAUCAUAGUUUUAAGACAUUUUGUUGACUGACUUCAUAGAAAGUCAAGAAAAGAUACGACUGAAAUAAUAAAUAAAUUCCACUCUAUAUUUGAAGGUUAAUGUUUUGCAAACCUCAGUCUCAGUGGAAAACUGCAACACACGCCUCAGCUGUCACUCAGCAGCAGCACUGACAGCUGCAGCAGUUAAUGGGAGGUUUUAGGAGUUGUUAGAAACACGUGGUCCUCGUCUGAUCAUAUAAACUGUCCUUGUUUGGCCUCGUUUCUAUCAAAGCAUCACUUCUCCUGAGAUUCACCAGAGGAAACGUCAC